rnacentral:rRNA from 1 species
GACGAACGCUGGCGGCGUGCUUAACACAUGCAAGUCGAGCGGUAAGGCCCUUUCGGGGUACGACGAGCGGCGAACGGGUGAGUAACACGUGGGUGACCUGCCCUCAGCUCUGGGAUAAGCCUGGGAAACCGGGUCUAAUACUGGAUAUGACUCCAUGACGCAUGUUGUGGGGUGGAAAGCCUUGUGCGGCUGAGGAUGGGCCCGCGGCCUAUCAGCUUGUUGGUGGGGUGANGGCCUACCAAGGCGACGACGGGUAGCCGGCCUGAGAGGGCGACCGGCCACACUGGGACUGAGACACGGCCCAGACUCCUACGGGAGGCAGCAGUGGGGAAUCUUGCGCAAUGGGCGAAANCCUGACGCAGCGACGCCGCGUGAGGGAUGACGGCCU